rnacentral:rRNA from 1 species
CAGUCGAGGGGCAGCAUGGUGUAGCAAUACACUGAUGGCGACCGGCAAACGGGUGCGGAACACGUACAGAACCUUCCUUCAAGCGGGGAAUAGCCCAGAGAAAUUUGGAUUAAUACCCCAUAGCAUAAUGGAGUGGCAUCACUUUGUUAUUAAAGAUUUAUCACUUGAAGAUGGCUGUGCGGCUGAUUAGGUAGUUGGCGGGGUAACGGCCCACCAAGCCUGCGAUCAGUAACUGGUGUGAGAGCACGACCAGUCACACGGGCACUGAGACACGGGCCCGACUCCUACGGGAGGCAGCAGUAAGGAAUAUUGGUCAAUGGACGAAAGUCUGAACCAGCCAUGCCGCGUGGAGGAUGAAGGUCCUCUGGAUUGUAAACUUCUUUUAUCUGGGACGAAAAAAGGUCUUUCUAGAUCGUCUGACGGUACCAGAUGAAUAAGCACCGGCUAACUCCGUGCCAGCAGCCGCGGUAAUACGGAGGGUGCAAGCGUUAUCCGGAUUCACUGGGUUUAAAGGGUGCGUAGGUGGGUUGGUAAGUCAGUGGUGAAAUCUUCGAGCUUAACUCGGAAACUGCCAUUGAUACUAUCAGUCUUGAAUAUUGUGGAGGUUAGCGGAAUAUGUCAUGUAGCGGUGAAAUGCUUAGAUAUGACAUAGAACACCAAUUGCGAAGGCAGCUGGCUACACAUAUAUUGACACUGAGGCACGAAAGCGUGGGGAUCAAACAGGAUUAGAUACCCUGGUAGUCCACGCCCUAAACUAUGGAUACUCGACAUACGCGAUACACUGUGUGUGUCUG